rnacentral:rRNA from 1 species
GAUGAACGCUGACAGAAUGCUUAACACAUGCAAGUCUACUUGAUUCUACUUCGGUAGUUGAUGGUGGCGGACGGGUGAGUAACGCGUAAAGAAUCUGCCCUUUAGUUUGGGAUAACCUUUGGAAACGAAGGCUAAUACCGGAUAUUAUGGAGACGUCGCAUGGCGACUCCAUGAAAGCUAUAUGCGCUAGAGGAGGACUUUGCGUCCCAUUAGUUAGUUGGUGAGGUAAUGGCUCACCAAGACCGCGAUGGGUAGCCGGCCUGAGAGGGUGAUCGGCCGCAAGGGAACUGAGACACGGGCCUUACUCCUACGUGAGGCGGCAGUGGGGAAUAUUGGACAAUGGUCCACAAGCCUGAUCCAGCAAUUCUGUGUGCACGAUGAAGGUCUUCGGAUUGUAAAGUGCUUUCAGUAGGGAAGAAAAAAAUGACGGUACCUACAGAAGAAGCGACGGCUAAAUAUGUGCCAGCAGCCGCAGUAA